GGUGUCUCCCGGCUCUGGGGAAGUGGGACGGGCUCUUAAUGAAGUCGCUCAGACUGCGAUGACGUAGUCCUUCUGGGCCCCGCAGCUGUCCUGUUGAUACCGUAGUGUCGUCUAGACGCUUUUACCCAUCAGAGCACUGAUAUUUUUGUCCACGUCUCUCAUCCAAAGAAGGCUAGAUGUUUUGCUGGUCUUAACUCAGGUCUCUGUUUUGACAAAAUUGCACCUGUAUUACAAGCAACGAAGAUGAGAACGGUAACGCUUCAAAAGCUCGUAAUAGGAGGACUUGACCUGAUCAGGGAGGUCGGCAGAGGCAGUGAUGCUCGAGGGCUAGAAACCUGAUGAAAUGGCCCACAAGAGGAACAAGAAGAGAACUCGCAGAUUGACCAGCAGCGCUGUGACACUGAAAUUCAUCUCUUUGCCAUGUACCAGCUUCUCCUUCUGGUUAAUAUCUUUCAAGUUGGGUUUCUGUUACUCCUUUCCCACCUCAUACACCACUGAUUUCCUGAGCUGGGCCCAUGAUGAGUUUGUGUGCUAAGAAGAGCCAGCGUUCAGCACCGUGGAUUCACUGCUGGCACAGAAGUACCGCGCUGAGUCCCCUGCCUGAGUGGAGUUGAUUUCCAGGCUGCAGGAUGUCCAGGACUCUGGGUGACCCCCGUGUCCAUGGAGCCUGCGGGGGAAAGAGACAGAAAGUGGAGACAAAGCCCAGGAGGAGCCUGAUUCUGCAGCCACAGGAGAAAUUCCUGAUCUGGAAUCUGACAAGUUCACAGCAGGAACUCACCUGCUCCCCAGAGCAAAAGGGCCACACAGCAGAGGAGACUGAGGCACAUGGUUGGCUCAGGGGAAAAGCAGGGCAGGUGGCUGUUUGUCUAAGGCUCCUCAUCCCCCAUCAGCAACGUCCUUGUGACGUGGUCCUUUCCCAUGUCAUCACAGUCCCCAUGGAGAGGAGACUAAACAUUUCAUAGGCUGUAGGGCAGGGGAAGCUGGUGACACAGCUAGUGUGGCUUUCAAACUGCUUUUAUUGACUUUUUCCUGACUCUGCUUUUUCAUUAUUAAAAUUAAAUAAGUAAAACCAUUUACAUCAUUACUUUAUUUGCUUUCUUAACUUGUCAAUUUCCUUCCUCUCCUCCACUCUUGCUUCUCAGGCAAUGAACCAUACAGCUUGGUGUAUGUCAAUCAUAACUUCCCCUGCACUUACAACUCAGAUAGAAGCUACUUUAAAUUUUAAAAACUGCAUGUUGAUCUAUACAAAACAAUAUGUACGAUGAGUAUACAGUGCAUCUAGGGAAACAACAAAAUCAAUGCUCUUGCCUGAAACCGUCAAUUUAGGAAACAGAUGAUCACUGAGAAAUUUUCAGCCACUGUGUUGUUUUUCUAGAUUUCAUUGUUCUUUCUCUACCACGUCCAGGUAAGCAUGACCCUGAAGUUUAUAUUUUCAUCCCCUUGCUUUUCCUUACAGUUUUUGCACUUAUGUAAGAAUCUUUUUAUACCUAUUAUUCAAUGUUGUUUGUCUUUGAAAUGUGUCUAAGGGAGUUCAUUUUGCUCAUACUGUUUUCUGUCAUAUUCUUUGUUUUCAACACUAUGUCUAUGAUAUUAAUUCAUGUUGUGGCAUAUGCUUUCAGAGAAUUCAUUUUCUAAGUAACAUGUAGGCUUCCAUUCUAUUCGUUUGACAGAUUUAUUAUUCAUUCUCCAGUGAAUGCACACGAGGAUUUUCCCCUAGAUUUUGGGGCUACUGCAAACAGGACAAUCUUCUUGUACAUUCCUUUAGAUACCCUGGUGUAAUAUGUAUCUAUCCCUGAGAUAUAAAAAUUAAGCCUUAGGGAACUUCCUAACUCAGUUAACUUAUUAAAUGAUGUGAUAAGUAAUGCAAUGCUUCUUUAGAUUCCUUUGCGUCUUCUGUAUUUGUCACCUAUCUAUAAUCACUGACUUUCCCUUUUCUCAUUCUCACACUUUGUCUUGUUUUGUUAGCUGGGAUUUCAGCACAAUGUUGAACAGAAGUGGUGGUGGCAUUCUUCUGCUUAUUUAUCAAUUAUGUGCGAUAAGGACAACUAGAGGUACAGGAUACGUGCUAUUUGCAAUGGGGGUUAAAAGGAUAAGAUUAGAUCCUGGGUAUUUCAAGGAACUAUUGGCAUCCCAGGAUGGUUGCAGAUCAUUCUCCCAGCUGCUACUGAACCGGGUUCAUCUCAGCUGACCCACAGGAAGCCAAAACGCUGAGGUGCUGAGGUGUGCAGCAGAGAGAAGACUUAUCUGCAAGGCAGCCAAGCGAGGAGAUGGGAGAACAGAUCUCAAUUCCACCACCCUGAAGGCAAGGGGUGUAGGGUUGCUUGAAACCUCAGACAACCCCAGCGUUUGGGAGGAAGGGGGUUGCAGAGCGCCCUCAGCUGCUCUGGCAGGGACAGCUGUGAGAAGCAGUCAUGAACCCAAAGGAGAGUCUGGGUCUGGAUCAUGAAUUGUGCGGGGCCAGGGGAUCAGGGUCCCCAGGAAAGAAAGUUCACCUGCCGAUCAUCGAGCUUCCCGAAGGUACAGCUUUGUGAGGGGAAAACCACACAGUUACAUUUCUCAGAGAGAUUGUUAGAAACCCAUCAGGCUCAUACCCUGUGUCUUUCCUCUGCCUGACGCCCCGCACGCUGGGGCAUCUGAGCCCCUUUACCACUUCCCUCCCCCUUCCCUGGCUUUCUGUGCCAUCAGCUGUUCUAACAUCCCUUUCUGCUCACCCACAGUUGCCAUGUACCAGCUUCUCCUUCUGGUUAAUAUCUUUCAAGUUGGGUUUCUGUUACUCCUUUCCCACCUCAUACACCACUGAUUUCCUGAGCUGGGCCCAUGAUGAGUUUGUGUGCUAAGAAGAGCCAGCGUUCAGCACCGUGGAUUCACUGCUGGCACAGAAGUACCGCGCUGAGUCCCCUGCCUGAGUGGAGUUUAUUUCCAGGCUGCAGGAUGUCCAGGACUCUGGGUGACCCCCGUGUCCACGGAGCCUGCGGGGGAAAGAGACAAAGUGGAGACAAAGCCCAGGAGGAGCCUGAUUCUGCAGCCACAGGAGAAAAUCCUGGAUCUGGAAUCUGACAAGUUCACAGCAGGAACUCACCUGCUCCCCAGAGCAAAAGGGCCACACAGCAGAGGAGACUGAAGCACAUGGUUGGCUCAGGGGAAAAGCAGGGCAGGUGGCUUUUUGUCUAAGGCUCCUCAUCCCCCAUCAGCAACGUCCUUGUGACGUGGUCCCUUCCCAUGUCAUCACAGUCCCUGUGGAGAGGAAACUACACAUUUUAUAGGCUGGAGGGCAGGGAAAGCUGGUGAUGCAACUAGUGUGGCUUUCAAACUGCUUUUUAUUGCCUUUUUCCUGACUCUGCUUUUUCAUUAUUAAAAAUAAAUAAAUAAAACCAUUUACAUCAUUAAUUUAUUUGCUCUUAACUUGUCAAUUUCCCUCCUCUCCUCCACUCUUGCUUCUCAGGCAAUGAACCAUACAGCUUGGUGUAUGUCAAUCAUAACUUCCCCUGCACUUACAACUCAGAUAGAAUCUACUUUAAAUUUUAAAAACUGCAUGUUGAACUAUACAAAACAAUAUGUACAAUGAGUAUACAGUGCAUCUAGGGAAACAACAAAAUCAAUGCUCUUGCCUGAAACCGUCAAUUUAGGAAACAGAUGAUCACUGAGAAAUUUUCAGCCCCUGUGUUAUUUUUCUAGAUUUCAUUGUUCUUUCUCUACCACGUCCAGGUAAGCAUGACCCUGAAGUUUAUAUUUUCAUUCCCUUGCUUUUCCUUACAGUUCUUGCACUUAUGUAAGAAUCUUUUUAUACCUAUUAUUCAAUGUUGUUUGUCUUUGAAAUGUGUCUAAGGGAGUUCAUUUUGCUCAUACUGUUUUCUGUCAUAUUCUUUGUUUUCAACACUAUGUCUAUGAUAUUAAUUCAUGUUGUGGCAUAUGCUUUUAGAGAAUUCAUUUUCACUAACAUGUAGGCUUCCAUUCUAUUCGUUUGACAGAUUUAUUAUUCAUUCUCCAGUGAAUGCACCCGAGGAUUUUCCCCUAGAUUUUGGGGCUACUGCAAACAGGACAAUCUUCUUGUACAUUCCUUUAGAUACCCUGGUGUAAUAUGUAUCUAUCCCUGAGAUAUAAAAAUUGAUCCUUAGGGUCCCCACGUCAGCUUUACAUAAUUAGACAAAAUGCUUUCUAAAUUAAGACAAGUACAUAGUUCCAUCAACAGGGCAUGCGUGUUUUCUUGUGUUCCACCUCUGAGUCAUUCACACUUAAUAUUCUUUUAUUUGCCCAUCUUCUAGGUUAAAAUAGUACCUCACUAUAGUUGUAGUUUGCAUUUUUAUGAUUGCUAAGGUGGUCCAACUUUGUUUUUUA